UACGGUGGAUGCAAGCGUUAUCCGGAAUGAUUGGGCGUAAAGCGUCCGCAGGUGGCUUUGUAAGUCUGCUGUUAAAGAGUGAGGCUCAACCUCAUAAGAGCAGUGGAAACUACAAGGCUAGAGUACGUUCGGGGCAGAGGGAAUUCCUGGUGUAGCGGUGAAAUGCGUAGAGAUCAGGAAGAACACCGGUGGCGAAAGCGCUCUGCUAGGCCGUAACUGACACUGAGGGACGAAAGCUAGGGGAGCGAAUGGG
rnacentral:rRNA from 1 species